CUGGGGUAAGAGCUCUCCUCUCAUUUCAGUGAAGAGGCUCUUUCAGCUCAUCUCAGCUUGUUUCCAGCAGGUGUUUCUGGGCAUCUAAAGCACAGAGGCUUUGAAGAUUCUGUGAAGUAAACAGCAUGGAAUACAGGGAGUAUUUAGACUCAUGAUUUUGGCUUUUGUGUUUAGGGGUGGUAAAGUGCAUUUGUAAUUUCUGGUUUUGUUCUUGUUUUGUUUUGUAUUUUUUUUAGGAGGAGCGCAGCAUCCAGAGGUUCCUGGUUGUGUCAAGUGCAACACUUUUUUCAGCAGAUUCAUCAUGUCACAAGAGGGAUCUGCCCAGUGUCAAGGAUGAUGUUUGAGAUUGAGGCUUCAGGUGAGUUGAGGAUUGUGAUUAGGAGAGGGAGGGUGGGCAGGUAUACAGUUAGGAAUUAUUGUGGGCGGGGGGACGUUUGAAGGCAGCAGGGUGAGAAAGGGUGUUUAUUUGUUUAUUUGAGGACCCCCCCUAAGGCUUCUCAGAAGCCUAGCAGAGGUAUUCCCAUGUCCUACAGCACACAAGGUUAUCUACUGCACUCAUAGGAAUGCUAUUCAACUUUGCCUUUCUGUAACCCAGGUGCCACUGCUAAUAAAGGCCACAGCCUUGGAAUCAGGGUGAAGCUGGAGCCUAAAGCAGCCAGGCACACUCAGGAGAGGGCAAGUAGCUGACUUGCUGGGAUUUGGCCCACAUAAAUCUGGACUCAUACUUUGGUUUUGGUUUUCUUUAUUGUAGCUAACCAAGAAGCUAACAGGCCAUCACGAGGCGUUCCAAGGCAGACUCAUUUCAGGUGCAACAUGGAUCCACAUCACCAAUCAAACAAAAGAUAAGUUGGGGGCUAGGGCUUGGAGAUGGGAUGAUGGGAGAGUAGCAGGUUGGGAGUUCUUGGGACAGAUUUAAAAAUUAGCAGAGGGAAAAGUAAUCUUCUUCAAGGGCCUCUUAGGACAGCUAAAGGGAGAGGCUCUACUUUUGAUGGCAGCUUUCAGGCAGGCAGUGCAGAACAGUUCUGGUCUAUGUUGUGUUGUCCAGUGUGCUGUGUUACCUAGUGUGUCUUUGGGGUCCCUUUUACCUUCUCUCCUCGAGGCCCUCACCACAAGCAUGAUGUGUCAUGUUUAAUGUCCCCCUGUUUGGCACGUUCUGUGUCACGGGCAUCUGCACACAUUUGUGCCAGAGCUGUCCUGCCCUGCCACAUAGUCUGCUGCAAUAGGACAAGUCCCGGGGACUUGCAGUUUGUGGGGUGUCACUGGACUCUAGAUGAUAUUUCUAGAUAGACACAAGAUGUUUGGAGCUGUGAAGUCAUCCUGCAGCCCUUUGACUUUUGUCCUAACUUUCAGAUGCAGAGGAUAAAAUCCAGGGCAUCCACCCAUGCCGGGUGAGGAGGUUCCCCAGAGCAGGUCAGUCACUGUUUGUCUCUGCAGGGUGAGUGUAAAGUGUGACUCUGUUACAGCACUGUUCUUUUUCUUUUUAGGAAGUAAAGCUGGAUAUCAGCAGUCAAGGUGAGAUGGGCAAGGCAAUCCACUCAGAGCACGCCAAGCCCCGGUCACCGACCGGCCAAUGGACUGGGUUUGCUGCUCUCCUGAGCCCUGCGGAAGUAUCACGGGACUCUGUGAUGAAGCCUCUGCCUUUUCCUAGUUAAAGGCGUCGCCAGGGUGUAGCCUUUGGUACUGGCCGAGAAGUUGCAGCGUACCCCGCGACAACAGCGUCAGCCUCUGAGUGAGGCCGAAGUGUGCAGCACCAGGAGCCGGGCAUUCUUAGGAGAACAACAAAGAAAUAACAGGAAGUUGUUGAACAACAGUGCCAGCAGCAAAUACCCAGAUGUCGAGGCUGCCUUCUUUCGCACCUGACAUGGACCAGCAUGCCCAGAUGUCUGAGGGCUACGACCCACAGAGGGGAUGAAAGUGGGGUGUGGGGCAGGGACCCACCGGGAGGGGUUUUUGAGUCUGCUUUGGAGAUGGGGGUGUCUAGAAAGUGGCUGCUUAGGCCACAUAAAUGCAAAGUCUCACUUUUGAUCACAGUGCUGAGGUGUACAGCAGGGCAGAGCAGUCCCAGUGUGUAUUGUGUCACUUGUCUAUCGUGCAUUAUGUGUUGCUUGUGUAUCUCAUGUCUUUUACCUUAGCCUUUUGAGAGGCCUGUCAGAAACCUUCGCACCAUUCUUAGCAUCCAUGAUCUCAGCAUUCCUUGCCCUGGCACCCAUGCCAUGGAACUUUUGACUGGAGAGCUCAGACAGGCAUCAGAAAUGCAUCUCUCUUAGGAAGCAUCCAGUCAGAUGUCUUGUCAGGUCUUGUUCUGAGCUGUACGGACAGCUAUGCCCCGCCAGGAUCCAUUAUGGCUGAUUAGGACUUGUAAGAAUGUGAGGUUAGGGAGAGGAUUCUGACUGUAGGAUUCCUAGGCAUCAAUCUUUGCAGUUCUUGGAAGAGAUGAUUCAGUUAACAUCAUCUUCCACCAGGGUUCUCUGAGCCUCAUCAGCUCACCAUCGGUCUCACCUCGGUCAUUUCCUUUUGCAUUCUCUCAAUCCUGGCAGCCAUUUUUCUUACAAAGGGAUUUCUGUCUGUGUAUUGUGCCAUUUGUUUGUCACGUCCUGUCUGUCCUGUGUCAUGGGUGUCAGCACACAUUUGUGCCAGAGCUGCUCUGCCCUGCUGCAUAGCCUGGUGCAAUAGGAGGCAUCUCAGGGGCUUGGAAUUUGUAAUGUGGGGUGCAGGUGGACUCUAGAUGGAAUUUGGAGAUGGACACAGGAUAUCUGGAGCCCAUAAGUUAUCCUG